rnacentral:rRNA from 1 species
GGAAUCUUCCACAAUGGACGAAAGUCUGAUGGAGCAACGCCGCGUGAGUGAAGAAGGUUUUAGGAUCGUAAAACUCUGUUGUUAAAGAAGAACGUAUCUAAGAGUAACUGCUUAGGUAGUGACGGUAUUUAACCAGAAAGCCACGGCUAACUACGUGCCAGCAGCCGCGGUAAUACGUAGGUGGCAAGCGUUAUCCGGAUUUAUUGGGCGUAAAGCGAGCGCAGGCGGUUUUUUAAGUCUGAUGUGAAAACCUUCGGCUUAACCGAAGAAGUGCAUUAGAAACUGGAAAACUUGAGUGCAGAAGAGGACGGUGGAACUCCAUGUGUAGCGGUGAAAUGCGUAGAUAUAUGGAAGAACACCAGUGGCGAAGGCGGCUGUCUGGUCUGUAACUGACGCUGAGGCUCGAAAGUAUGGGGAGCGAACA